rnacentral:rRNA from 1 species
AGAGAGAGACAUGCGCGCAUAUCAAUAAGCGGAGGAAAAGAAACUAACAAGGAUUCCCUUAGUAACGGCGAGUGAAGCGGGAAGAGCUCAAAUUUGAAAUCUUCAAGGUUUUACCUUGACGAAUUGUAGUUUAAAGAAGUGUUUUCUGUUGAAGUUUUGGUAAAAGUUCUUUGGAAUAGGACAUCAUAGAGGGUGAGAAUCCCGUAUUUGACCAUUAUCUUCCAGCUUUGUGAUACACUUUCAAAGAGUCGGAUUGUUUGGGAAUGCAGUCCAAAAUGGGUGGUAAAUUUCAUCUAAAGCUAAAUAUUGGCGAGAGACCGAUAGCGAACAAGUACCGUGAGGGAAAGAUGAAAAGAACUUUGAAAAGAGAGUUAAACAGUACGUGAAAUUGUCAAAAGGGAAGCGUUUGACACCAGUGUUGUUUUCCUCGAAAAUCAAUUAAAAAAGGCAGGAUUUUGUGUUGUAUUGACUUUAUCAGCUUUCUGCACUCUUUUCUUGUCUUUUUUAAUGCACUUUUCGUUUAACAAGUCAACAUCAAUUUCUUUUGUUGUAAAAGGGUCAUUGGAAGGUGGCUUUCUUUUCGGAGAAAGUGUUUAUAGCCUUUGGCCUCUGCAAUCGGAGAGAUUGAGGUCUGCAGCGUAGAUCCUUCGGGGUUAGAUACAUUUGUGCUAAGUUAUAGCCUUUCAUAGACAACUUGUUGACUAUGAUCAGUCAUGUAGCUUACUCGCUUAUGCUAUUUUACCUACGCUUAGGAUGUUGAUGUGAUACUGCGAGCA